UUCUUAUAGAAUAUUAUUAUAAGUAAAACCUGCUCAAUGAUAUUAAAUAGCCGCAGACAUAUCUGUGCUAAGGUAGCAUAAUCAUUUGUCUUAUAAAUGAAGACUAGUAUGAAAGGUUAAACGUUUAUUAACUUUCUAAUUAUUAAAACUUAAAAAUUUAAAUAAAUGUUAAAAUGCAUUUAUACUUAAAGAAGACGACAAGACCCUAUUGAACUUUACUAACCUAGUUAGGCUGGGGCAGCUAUUUAACAAAAUCUUAAAAAAAUUCCUUAAAUAAAUAGACCCAUUAACAAUGAUCAAAUGAACAAGUUACCAUAGGGAUAACAGCGUAAUUUAUAAUUGUAGCUCUUAUAUAAUUAUAAGCUUGCGACCUCGAUGUUGAAUAAUUUUACUAUUAUAUGCAAAAAUAUAACAAGUAGGUCUGUUCGACCUUUAAAAAAUUACA
rnacentral:rRNA from 1 species